CUAAUUUUUCUAUAUUUAUUGUUAUUUUCUUCUGUCGUUAAUCAGUAUAAAACUAUUACAAUUUUGAGGUAAUCCGUAAUUUUUGUGGUUAGCUGUCACUUUAUUAUUUUAGAUCUUACUCGCUGAUGUUAAUUCUUACUCUGCUUUUCUUAGAAAAUGUCUCGGAAGCAGAAAUCUGGUAUGUAUAUCGAAAAUUUCAUCGCAAAAAUUGCACGAAAUCAAGAAACUUCGGCUCACGGAGAGCUAAGAAGACAACAGCAAGCAGAGCGACAAAAAGUUUUGAGAGCAGCUGAAACGCCUCUUCAGACACGAGUUCGUUUAGAAAGACAAGCUGCACUGCAGACAACUAGAAGAGCGAUAGAAACACCAGAACAAUCGCAGGUGAGAAGACUUGCGAGAUAGUACAGAUAUAAUGAGAGGAAUGGUAGUUUUAUUGGCUGGUGAUUUCCGUCAAACCCUCCCAGUGAUUCAGAGGGGGACACCAGCAGAUGAAAUUCAAGCGUGUAUUAAAUCAUCAGGCUUAUAGUCGACAGUUGAAAAACUCCGCCUGAAAACGAAUAUGAGAGUGCAUCUUCAUAAUAACUUUGCGCAGAAAUGUUGUUGAAAAUUGGUGAUGGUUGUUUAGAUGUUGACGUUGAAAGCUAUAUACAUAUUACUGUCAAGAGAAUUUUUUAAUUUAGUAGAAAGUGAUGUGGAUAUCAUUGCUAAUGUUUUUCUGGAAUUGCAACAAAAUUUGUGUAGUGAUCAGUGGUUGUGUGCAAGAGCAAUAUUAGCACCAAGAAAUGAAAUUGUUAAUAGGAUCAACACAGACAUUUUAAACGGGGUUCAAGGAGAAAUGAAGGCAUAUUUGUCAAUUUAUACAAUUAUAGAUACGGAAAUAAGUACUUCAUAUCCUGUGGAGUUUUUAAAUUCACUUGAACUAUCGAGUGUACCGUCACAUAAACUUCAAUUGAAACUAAAUGUACCAGUAAUGCUUAUGCGAAAUCUAGAUGCUCCUCGGCUAUGUAAUGGAACAAAGUUUCGGAUAACAAAAUUGGGACAGAAUAUACAUAUGUACUUGGUGCUACUUUUUUAACAGGUGCCGGGUUCAGUUUCCCGUCAAGCUUAGCUUUGCUGUUACUAUAAACAAGGCACAAGGACAAACAUUACAGGUAGCAGGAGUGCAUUUAGAAAACCCAUGCUUCUCUCAUGGUCAACUUUAUGUAGCCUGUUCACGUGUACCUAAUGCCCAGAAUUUACACAUAUUUGCACACGAAUGGAAAAAUUAAAACAUUAUCUACAAAAAUAUCCUAGAUUAAUACUUUGUAUUUUAUUUUUUUAAAUUGUUAGAAUUCAGAAUUAUUUAUUUUUGUUACGGUGAAAUAUUUUUCAACAUUUGUUGUUGCAUUUCAAAACGAAUAUUUUAAGGUGUUGAAACUUCAUUGUCUGUAGUAAUUUUUAAAAAUUGUUGAUCUCAGCCAAGCAAUAAAAUUUAGUUAUCAUUUGGACUCAUUUCUAUUAUUAUACCCUUACCCUUUAUCUCUCAUACUUAUUUAAUGGCUCCACUGCGGGCGAAGCCGCGGGUAAGAAGCUAGUAAUUGAUAAUCUAAUUUUUAAUACAAUUUUUUUUUAUUAAAAAAUUUACAAUCCUGAUUUAAAAAAUUAAAAGAUGACGAAACAAGUAAAACCCGUCCAAAAUACAAGGUAACAGCCUAAAAACUUUUGAUUUCUUUUCACAAAGCCAAUGCUACCUUCCAAUUUUCACGUUUAUCCCUUUUAGAAGCCGCUUUUCAACAUUACUAUUGCAACAAUUUUGUUUAUAAUUUUUUGGACAAAUAUGAUUUAUUUUAUUUAUAUUACAUACAUUCAAUUUUAUAUCUUAUACACAUACAUAUGUUUAUGCUAGUAUGCCGCAACUAAAGUUGUGUAUAUGUAUUUGUAUGACUAUAUCUAUUUUAUGUACUAGUCUCUUUGGCACUGGUACGUUUAUAUGUAAAUACAAAUCUAAAUAGUCUAGCUUGUUAAUAACAUAUUUGUAAACAAACCCUUUAUUCAUAUAUGUCUUUGUAUUUUGUAAGUAUCUUUAUCUUUCAGAUAUCAAUACUACACACAUAUAAUACAUAGCUGCUAAACUUAAAAUUAAUAAAAAAAACAGCAAGUGAUUUCAAUUAAUCUAUACAUAUGUACAUAUAGUAUAUUUAUACAUACAUAUAUGAUUAGAAAGUUUUUUGAAAAAAAUAUUUAACAUAAAGCGACAGUCAUUUACAGUUAGAUUGUUAUAAUUAUAAAUUUUGCCAAUACAUGUUCAUAUGUAUGUACAUGUAACUAUAAAUCAGAUAACGUAUUCUUUGGUGAUUUUUAACAAAAAAUUGCUUAUUCAUAAUAAUUAAUCAUAUACAAUAAUAUAACACAUUUAUAAUUUAAUUAAUACUCAUAUGUACAUACAAUUUAUAUAUAUUUAUGUUUUUUAUUUUUAAUUCUAAACAUAGUCUACAGUGAGUCACAAAAGAUUACAGCUACAAUUCACAAAUUAUAUCCAUUUACCAAAUCGGACCUAAGCCAUAACAUAACCAGAAAUAUACAUAAAAAAUUUCUUUAUACAAAUUUUUCUCAACUUAUUCAAAUAGAUAUUAGUUUUGCUCUGUUAUAUAUAUAUAUAUAUAUUAUUGCCAGUUAUCAUAGAUUAUCUGAUCUUGAUGGUCCUGUACACUCGUGGCCACGCAAACCUUACCACUCAACUAUUGUGCAUAUUUGUCUACAUUUUAUAGCGGUACUUUUUGCGAUAUAGAAAUUUCUUAUUUAGAAAUAAGUUAAUGACAUGUUAAUAAUCAAAAAUAUUAAAAAUUAAAAACAAAACACAUUCAGCUUUAGAUAAAUGAAUUGAAAGAUAGUGAGCUUUACAAAAUGAGCUCGAAAUGUAAGAGACUGACAUGCGAUGAAAAAAUAAUAUUUCUCAUUUUUUUAAUUUAAUUUCAUUUACACUAUAUUUGAAAUUAAUUUUGUAUUUAAUAGGUGUGAUACUUUAAAAACAAUAAAAUCGGCCGCUUUUGUAUAAGCACAGAAAAGCUAAACUUAA